rnacentral:lncRNA from 1 species
GUUAUAUUCACAAUGUGCUGGAACCAUCACCAUUACAUAUAUCUCCAAAUUUUUAAUCACCCCACAGGGAAGUUCAGUAAGCGUUAAGCAAUCUCUCCCUACUCCUCUGCCCCUCCAACAAGUCCUGGUGACUUGUUUAUUUUCCACCUCCAUGAACUCGCCUAUUUUUGGAUAUUUUGUACAAGUGGAGUCACACACUAUGUGGCCCUUUGUGUCUGGCUUAUUUCACUUAGCAUGGUGUUUUUGAGGCGAGAAAUGUUGGGUCCAAGGACCCAGAUGGGGCGUCCCACAGGACCAGCCAAGAGGGCCCUUGGCUUUGCACAGGAUAGAAAUCAAACUGAAGCUCGAGAGAGAUUGUGGCAGACAGCACGUCUGGGAGAGUAGAAAAGGGAGAGUGAAUGGGUCUGGUUGUCGCUAGGAGUUAGGGGUUUAUAUAGGCAAGGGGUCCAGAGUACACGUUCCUUCACGAAUCAGGGUAGGGUCUGAUCAAGGGUGAGUGACAGGCGAAUGACAGGUGUUUCAUAAAUCCUCAAAGGCAGGGGGUAUUGGUGCUAGUGUUGGCUGAGGCUUGUUUGAAUCUAAUGUCCUGGAACAUGUUUGGGACCCGGUUCUUCUUAGAUGUCAUCAGGUGUUCGGGGCCCUACGAAAAACUCCGAGAUCAAUGAACUCUUCUCCCCUGCGGUGGUUUACUCAGAUACCAAGUAUACAACUAUACAACCCGAGUACAUGGAGUCUGAUAGAAAAACAGAGAGAGCGCCUUACUGACAAUGCAGUUCCUCAGUUUCCCCGUGUCAUCCUCAAUGUUCGUCCACACCGCAGCCCGUGUCACAACUGCACUGCUUUCUUUUUAAGCAAGUGUGCAUGUGCGUAGCUUGAUGAACUGUGACCCAGGGAGGCUGGAGGCACUAAAGCUGUGUUUGAGGCAGAAAUGAGUCACAGGGUGAGUCACCAAGCAGGAGCUCGAGGGCGUGGGCUACCGGCAGCCUCUGGGCACCAGCUCAGCUCCAGCCUGACCUUAGACAACUUCUUAGUAUUUUCCCUGCUGUUUCUGACUGUGAUGAUUCAGAGGGCAGAUGGCAUGCUCACCUCUGUUCAGUCCUUAAAACACGUCCUUCCAGCUGACCUCCGGCUCCAGCCCUCUUAGUCCUCACCUCGAAGUUUCUUCAAAGAGUAUCCGAAGACAGCGGUCUCCACCUGUCUCUUCAUCUUGAGUCCCACUCACUGUGGUG